UGGCGAACGGGUGAGUAACGCGUUGGUGACCUACCCCAAAGUGGGGGAUAACAGAUCGAAAGGUCUGCUAAUACCUCAUGUUGUCAUUGUUUUUAGAAAGCAAUGACCAAAGGAGUAAUCCGCUUUGGGAGGGGCCUGCGUCCCAUCAGCUAGUUGGUAAGGUAAUGGCCUACCAAGGCGUCGACGGGUAAGGGACCUGAGAGGGUGGCCCCUCACAAUGGAACUGAAACACGGUCCAUACACCUACGGGUGGCAGCAGUAGGGAAUAUUGCACAAUGGACGAAAGUCUGAUGCAGCAACGCCGCGUGUAUGAUGAAGGCCUUCGGGUCGUAAAAUACUUUUCAGGGAGAAGAGAAAGGACUGUACCCCUGGAAUAAGUCUCGGCUAACUACGUGCCAGCAGCCGCGGUAAAACGUAGGAGGCGAGCGUUAUCCGGAUUUACUGGGUGUAAAGCGCGUGCAGGCGGUUUGAUAAGUUGGAUGUGAAAGCUCCUGGCUCAACUGGGGGAGGUCGUUCAAAACUAUCAGACUUGAGAGUGGUAGAGGAAAGUGGAAUUCCCGGUGUAGUGGUGAAAUGCGUAGAUAUCGGGAGGAACACCAGUGGCGAAGGCGGCUUUCUGGACCAUUUCUGACGCUCAGACGCGAAAGCUAGGGUAGCAAACGGGAUUAGAGACCCCGGUAGUCCUAGCAGUAAACGAUGUGAACUUGGCGUCGGUGGUGUAAAAACCAUCGGUGCCGAAGCUAACGCGAUAAGUUCACCACCUGGGAACUACGGCCGCAAGGUUAAAACUCAAGGAAUUGACGGGUCUCCGCACAGCAGCGGAGCGUGUGGUUUAAUUCG
rnacentral:rRNA from 1 species